AAAUUGAAGAGUUUGAUCAUGGCUCAGAUUGAACGCUGGCGGCAGGCCUAACACAUGCAAGUCGAGCGGAAACGAGUUAUCUGAACCUUCGGGGAACGAUAACGGCGUCGAGCGGCGGACGGGUGAGUAAUGCCUAGGAAAUUGCCCUGAUGUGGGGGAUAACCAUUGGAAACGAUGGCUAAUACCGCAUGAUGCCUACGGGCCAAAGAGGGGGACCUUCGGGCCUCUCGCGUCAGGAUAUGCCUAGGUGGGAUUAGCUAGUUGGUGAGGUAAGGGCUCACCAAGGCGACGAUCCCUAGCUGGUCUGAGAGGAUGAUCAGCCACACUGGAACUGAGACACGGUCCAGACUCCUACGGGAGGCAGCAGUGGGGAAUAUUGCACAAUGGGCGCAAGCCUGAUGCAGCCAUGCCGCGUGUGUGAAGAAGGCCUUCGGGUUGUAAAGCACUUUCAGUCGUGAGGAAGGUAGUGUAGUUAAUAGCUGCAUUACUUGACGUUAGCGACAGAAGAAGCACCGGCUAACUCCGUGCCAGCAGCCGCGGUAAUACGGAGGGUGCGAGCGUUAAUCGGAAUUACUGGGCGUAAAGCGCAUGCAGGUGGUUUGUUAAGUCAGAUGUGAAAGCCCGGGGCUCAACCUCGGAAUAGCAUUUGAAACUGGCAGACUAGAGUACUGUAGAGGGGGGUAGAAUUUCAGGUGUAGCGGUGAAAUGCGUAGAGAUCUGAAGGAAUACCGGUGGCGAAGGCGGCCCCCUGGACAGAUACUGACACUCAGAUGCGAAAGCGUGGGGAGCAAAC
rnacentral:rRNA from 1 species